rnacentral:rRNA from 1 species
CAGCAGCCGCGGUAAUACGUAGGUGGCAAGCGUUGUCCGGAAUUAUUGGGCGUAAAGCGCACGUAGGCGGAAAUUUAAGUCAGGGGUGAAAUCCCGAGGCUCAACCUCGGAACUGCAGCCGAUACGGGCAAGCUAGAAUUCGGUAGGGGAGACUGGAAUUCCUGGUGUAGCGGUGAAAUGCGCAGAUAUCAGGAGGAACACCGGUGGCGAAGGCGGGUCUCUGGGCCGAUAUUGACGCUGAGGAGCGAAAGCGUGGGGAGCAAACAGGAUUAGAUACCCCUGUAGUCCCUGUCUCUUAUAC